rnacentral:rRNA from 1 species
GACGAACGCUGGCGGCGUGCUUAACACAUGCAAGUCGAACGGGCCCGCCCCUGUUUUUGGGGGUGGGUUGAGUGGCGAACGGGUGAGUAUCACGUGAGUAACCUGCCCCCUGCUCCUGGAUAACUGCUUGAAAGGGCGGCUAAUACGGGGUGUGCCGGCUGGUCCGCAUGGGCCUGGUCGGGAUAGUUUCAUCUUCGGGUGUUUCGGUGGGGGAUGGGCUCGCGGCCUAUCAGCUUGUUGGUGGGGUGAUGGCCCACCAAGGCGGUGACGGGUAGCCGGCCUGAGAGGGUGGGCGGCCACACUGGGACUGAGACACGGCCCAGACUCCUGCGGGAGGCAGCAGUGGGGGGUAUUGCACAAUGGGUGGAAGCCUGAUGCAGCGACGGCGCGUGAGGGAUGGAGGCCUUCGGGUUGUGAACCUCUUUCUCCGGUGGUGAAGGCCCUGUCCGUUGCGGCGGGGUUGACGGUAGCCGGGUAUGAAGCGCCGGCUAACUACGUG